UUGAAUAUUGAAAAAUUGAAU
rnacentral:piRNA from 1 species